rnacentral:tRNA from 1 species
GAUAGGGUAGUUUAGUAUAAGAAUCCUGCUUUUGUAAUGCAGGGGUGCCUCUGGCCCCUUUCA